rnacentral:rRNA from 1 species
UCCUUGGUGCUCCUUGCUUAGUUGGACCCACACCAAUCCAUCUCGAACUUGGUUGUGAAAAAGCUAAGGGGUUUUAUUGUACUUUGCGGGCCACUGCAGGGGAAAUAAAAUCUAGUGCCAGGGA